rnacentral:rRNA from 1 species
UACGGAGGGAGCUAGCGUUGUUCGGAAUUACUGGGCGUAAAGCGCACGUAGGCGGCUUUGUAAGUUUGGUGUGAAAUCUCCCGGCUUAACUGGGAGGGUGCGCCGAAAACUGGAAGGCUUGAGUAUGGGAGAGGUAAGCGGAAUUCCUGGUGUAGCGGUGAAAUGCGUAGAUAUCAGGAGGAACACCUGCGGUGUAGACGGCUUACUGGACCAUAACUGACGCUGAGGCACGAAAGCGUGGGUAGCAAACAGG